rnacentral:rRNA from 1 species
GACGAACGCUGGCGGCGUGCCUAACACAUGCAAGUCAACUUGACUGAAGGAGCAAUCUGACAGUAGAGUGGCGCAAGGGUGCGUAACGCGUAAGUAACUUGCCCCAAGGUAAGGAAUAACGUCGAGAAAUCGGCGCUAAUACCUCAUAAUGCAGCGGAUCCGCAUGGAUAUGUUGUUAAAGGUUUACCGCCUUGGGAUAGGCUUGCGUCUGAUUAGUUAGUUGGUGUGGUAACGGCACACCAAGGCUACGAUCAGUAACUGGUCUGAGAGGAUGAUCAGUCACACUGGAAACUGAGACACGGUCCAGACUCCUACGGGAGGCAGCAGUGAGGAAUAUUGGGCAAUGCUCGAAAGAGUGACCCAGCAACGCCGCGUGGAGGAUGAAGGUAUUCUAUAUCGUAAACUCCUGUGAGAGCAGACGAAAGACAGAUUAUUAAUCUGGAUGACUGUAUGCUCAGAGGAAGCCCCGGCUAACUACGU